UCAAUGGCAGCAGCAAAUAAAACAAAAUGAAGCUUCUCCGAGCAUAAGCUCAGAAAACAGCAAGCAAAAACAAUGAAAAGAAAAAUGAAAGACUAAGAACAGCAAGUAACCGAUGAAGUGAUUCAAUUUUUUUUAUUGAAACUUUGAAAUAUAAGAUGUUACAAAAAUAGUAUGACAGUUACCUAACAUAUGUAACUGCUCCCAUCAGUUUUAGCAAGUUGCAAUACAAAAUAAUACAAAUUAAA
rnacentral:lncRNA from 1 species